GAUGAACGCUGGCGGCGUGCCUAAUACAUGCAAGUCGAGCGAACGGACGAGAAGCUUGCUUCUCUGAUGUUAGCGGCGGACGGGUGAGUAACACGUGGAUAACCUACCUAUAAGACUGGGAUAACUUCGGGAAACCGGAGCUAAUACCGGAUAAUAUUUUGAACCGCAUGGUUCAAAAGUGAAAGACGGUCUUGCUGUCACUUAUAGAUGGAUCCGCGCGGCAUUAGCUAGUUGGUAAGGUAACGGCUUACCAAGGCAACGAUGCAUAGCCGACCUGAGAGGGUGAUCGGCCACACUAGAACUGAGACACGGUACAGACUCCUACGGGAGGCAGCGGUAGGGAAUCUUACGCAAUGGGCGAAAGCCUGACGGAGCAACGCCGCGUGAGUGAUGAAGGUCUUCGGAUCGUAAAACUCUGUUAUUAGGGAAGAACAUAUGUGUAAGUAACUGUGCACAUCUGGACGGUACCUAAUCAGAAAGCCACGGCAAACUACGUG
rnacentral:rRNA from 1 species